CCUACGUGAGGCAGCAGUAGGGAAUCUUUCACAAUGGGCGAAAGCCUGAUGGAGCAACGUCGCGUGCAGGAUGAAGGCCUUCGGGUUGUAAACUGCUUUUAUAAGCGAGAAAUAUGAUGGUAACUUAUGAAUAAUUAUCGUCUAACUACGUGCCAGCAGCCGCGGUCAUACGUAGGAUCCGAGCAUUAUCCGGAGUGACUGGGUGUAAAGAGUUGCGUAGGUGGCAUAAUAAGUAGCUAGUGAAAUCUGGUGGCGCAACCAUUCAGACUAUUAGCUAAACUGUUACGCUCGAGACCGUUAGGGGUAACUGGAAUUUCUAGUGUAGGGGUGAAAUGCGUAGAUAUUAGGAGGAACACCGAUUGCGUAGGCAGGUUACUGGGACGGUUCUGACACUGAGGCACGAAAGCGUAGGGAGCAAACGGGAUUAGAUACCCCUGUAGUC
rnacentral:rRNA from 1 species